rnacentral:rRNA from 1 species
AUUGAACGCUGGCGGCAUGCUUUACACAUGCAAGUCGAACGGUAACAGGCCUUCGGGUGCUGACGAGUGGCGAACGGGUGAGUAAUGCAUCGGAACGUACCCAGAGGUGGGGGAUAACGCAGCGAAAGCUGUGCUAAUACCGCAUGUGAUCUGAGGAUGAAAGCGGGGGACCGAGCAGCAAUGUUUGGCCUCGCGCCUUUGGAGCGGCCGAUGUCGGCUUAGCUAGUUGGUGGGGUAAAGGCCUACCAAGGCGACGAUCCGUAGCUGGUCUGAGAGGACGACCAGCCACACUGGGACUGAGACACGGCCCAGACUCCUACGGGAGGCAGCAAUGGGGAAUUUUGGACAAUGGGCGCAAGCCUGAUCCAGCAAUGCCGCGUGCGGGAAGAAGGCCUUCGGGUUGUAAACCGCUUUUGGCAGGAACGAAACGGUGUCCGCUAAUACCGGGCGCUAAUGACGGUACCUGCAGAAUAAGCACCGGCUAACUACGUG